AUCAGGGCCAAUGACUAACUGGAAACUGGAAAUGGAAGCUGGACAGUAGGAAUAACAAGGUUGCAUGGACCUCAGUCUCCUACUGAGAGAAAGAAAUAUCUUUCUGAUUCACAUGAGUUACCAGCAAAUUUCAUGAGACGCAGUGACAUUUUAUUUCUCUUCAAAGGCAAUCAGUAAAACUGAAAAAGGUGGCUCUCUAAAGUGCAGAAACCUGGCAAAUCUGGCCCACGGUGCGGAAGAAGUUGAGCACCUGAGAAAAAGACUUAAUGGCCUUAUGGUGUGAGAAGGAGCAUGAGUCAAAUAACUCUUCUCCUGGAACUCCAUUUAUUGGGGAUCUUGACAGUGAACCUGAACAGCUGAAUUUGACUGAGAACCUAGGUUAAUGUGCUUCUGCUGCCAUUUAAAUCCAUGCUGUU
rnacentral:lncRNA from 1 species